rnacentral:antisense_RNA from 2 species
CUCUAUGGCGGGCGGUGCGCGGGGGCCGCAAGGCCCACCGGUUCCUUUUGGCCGGCACGCCAACCGCGUACCGUCCGCCACCCCG